AAUCUAGAAGUGGAAUUGCUGAGCUGUAGAGUAUGUGAAUCUCUACAACUUUCAACUUUACCAUGUAUUGUCAAAUUGCUCUCCAAAGUGAUGGUACCAAUUAAUGAUACUACCAAUAAGGAUCUCAACAGGACAAACACAAAGAAAAUAUCAAGGUGCAUCAUAGACAAAUUAUUGAAAAUCAGCAAUAAGGAGAAAACCUUAAAAACAGCAAGAUAAAAAGAUGCAUUAUGUGUAAAAUUAAAAAAGAAAACAAUGAUUGCUGAAUUCUUAUCAUACCAAUGCACAAAAGACAACAGAACAAUAUCUUUAAUGUGUGAAAAGUAAAAAAAAAAAUGUCAAACUAAGUUUUACAUUCAGGAAAAAUAUUCUUUGAAAAUAGAAGACAAUGAGAUUUCUGAUUUGUGGUUAUCACUCCCAUUCUCAUAAUAAGAAAAAAUCUGAAAAAACUGGAAAUCCACAACUCUUCUUAAAAUUGAGGUAACAGGGCAAGCCACUACCUUGAAUAUUAGAGACAGGAAGAUACAAAGAAUUCAGCUUAAAGAAAGAAGGAAGCCUUGGAGGAGAAGCCUGGUGCUGGAGCCUGUACCACUUUCCACAACAUCAACUGUGCUACUGUAUAAUAACAGGGCAUUAUAGCCAAAGAACUGUAAGCCUCAGACCCUAUUUAAGGAAGAGUCUCCAGGGAAAUCUAAAAAUAACAGGGAAGACUAAAACAAGGACACCCAGAGAAAAUGCUAGCCUUUGAUAUGUACAGCUAUAGCAACUGGCAAACACAAUGUAACUCCUAGCCAGAUCAACAUUGAACCUCACACAAAAGGUCUAUUUACUUCAUUUCCUUCUAAUUGAUACAUCCUCUCAGGCUGUCAGCAAAAAACUAGAAGACGUGAAAAUGCAAAAACUCUGUCUGAAGAGAGAAAGCAUGCCUUAGACUCAGACUGGCAGAAAUUUUGAGUGAUCAAACCAGAUAUUUAAAAUAACUAUGAUUAAAAUGCUAGCAGAAUGGAAAAAGUAAACAACAUGCACAAAUGGAAGGCAAAACAAAGACAUUUUCAAAUAAGCAAAAGGUGAUAGAAUGUGUCAUCCACAGACCUGCACUAUAAAAAAUGGUAGAGGAAGUUCUUCAGUAUGAAAGUGAAUGAUACCAGAUGGAAACUGAGAUCUACAAAAUGAAACAUCACUGGAAAUAGUAAAUACAUGGCCACUUCAGGGCGGGGACCCAGUAUCACGAAGCUGCAAGGUAAAAAGGAUCAAACCUUAACUGCCUACAUGUGCUCACAGGAACAUAAGUGAGUGAGGCUCACCAGCAACCAGGAAGUGAGCUGAGCCUAACAUAUGGGAGAGAUCCUGUCUCAUCUGCAGGGAAGAGCUGCUAUAUAGGAAAGUAUCUGCUCAUUGCUGCCAUGUGGGAAUGCUGGUAUUGCUGGACUUUCUGAUGUUUUAGGAGAAACUGCUGAUCUGUGCAUGAAGUCUGAUAUAUAAAGAUGAUACUAUAUUUAUGUGUCUAUGGAUAAAUAAAUAAUGUCAACUGGUUCCAGAAAAAAAAAACAAAAACAAACAACAACAACAACAACAAAAAACCACUGUGUGGGCUAAACAAGCCUGCUGAUUAGAUUUGGCACAUUGACAGUGAGGUUAAGGUGCCUAAGUGCCUGAAAAACUUAUGUGUUUUUGUUUAUGAGAACAACUUCAGCAAAGUUUCAAGAUACAAAAUCAAUUUACAAAAAUCAGUAGCAUUUCUAUACAUCAACAACGUCUAAGAUGAGACCCAAAUCAAGAAUGAGGUCCCAUUCACAACAGUCACACACACAAAAUAUCUAGGAAUACAGCUAGCCAAGAAGGUGAAAGAUCUCUACAACAAGAUUAUAAAACACUGCUCAAAGAAAUCAGAGAUGACAUAAACAAAUGGAAAAAUAUUACAUGCUCAUAGAUAGUAAGAAUCAAUAUUGUUAAAAUGUCCAUAUUGCCCAAAGCAACUUAUAGAUUCAGUGCUAUUCCUAGCAAACUACCAGUGAUAUUUUUCACAGAAUUAGAAAAAAAAAAAAAACUAUUCAAAAAUCCUAUGGAACUUUUAGAGCCUGAAUAGUGAAAAAUAGGUUAAGCAAAAAGAACAAAACUGAAGGCAUCACGUUACCUGACUUUAAACCAUAUUACAGAGUUACAAUAACCAAAACAUCAUAGUACUGGUACAAAAACAGACACAUGGACCAAUGCAACAGAAUAGAGAGCCUAGAAAUAAAGCCACACACCUACAGUCAUCUGAUCUUUGACAACAUCUACAAAAACAAGCAAUGAGAAAAGACUUCCUGUUCAACAAAUGGUGCUGAGAUAACUGCCUAGCCAUAUGCAGAAGAUUGAAACUGGACCGCCCCCCCCACCCUUUUUUUUUUUUUUUUUUUUUUUUACCAUAUACAAAAACCAACUCAAGAUGGAUUAAAGACUUAAAUGUAAAACCUAAAACUAUAAAAAACCUAGAAGAAAUCCUAGGAAAAACUAUUAUGGACAUAGGUCCUGGCAAAGAUUUCAUGACAAAGAUGCCAAAAGCAAUUGCAACAAAAAGAAAAAUUGACACAUGGGACCUAAUUAAAUUAAUGAGCUUCUGUACAGCAAAAGAAACAAUCAACAGAGUGAAGAGACAACCUACAGAAUGGAAGAAAAUAUUUUCAAACUGCAUCUGACAAACUUCUAAUAUCUAGAAUCUAUAAGGAACUUAAACAAAAUAACAAGCAGAAAACAAACAAUCCCAUUAAAAAUUGGGCAAAGGACAUGAAUAGACACUUUUCAAAAGAAGACAUACACACAGUCAAUAAGCAUGAAAAAAUGCUCAACAUUACUAAUUAUUAAAGAAAUCCAAAUCAAAACCAAAUGAAAUUGGGCAAAGGGCAUGAACAGACACUUUUCAAAAGAAGACAUACACACAAGCCAAUAAGCAUGAAAAAAUGUUCAACAUCACUAAUUAUUAAAGAAAUCCAAAUCAAAACCAAAGAAAUUGGGCAAAGGACAUGAAUAGACACUUUUCAAAAGAAGACAUACACACAGCCAAUAAGCAUGAAAAAAUGCUGAACAUCACUAAUUAUUAAAGAAAUCCAAAUCAAAACCAAAAUGAAAUACCAUCACACUCCAAUCAGAAUGGCUAAUAUUAAAAGGUUAAAAAAUAACAGAUGCUGGUAAGGCUGUGGAGAAAAUAAAACACUUAUACACUGUUGGUGGGAAUGUAAGUUAGCUCAGCCAUUUUAGAAAACAGUUUGGCAAUUUCUCAAAUAACUUAAAAUAGAACUACCAUUUGACCCAGCAGUCCCAUUAUUGGGUAUAUACCCAAAGCAAUGUAAAUUUUCUACCAUAAAUUCACAUGCAUGCAUAUGUUCAUCACAGCACUAUUCACAAUAGCAGAAACAUGGAAUCAAAUGCUCUUCAACAGUAGACUGGAUGAAGAAAAUAUGGUACAUAUACACCAUGGAAUACUACACAGGUUUAAAAAGAACAAGACCAUGUCCUUUGCAGGGACAUGGAUGGAGCUGGAGGUCGUUACCCUAAGCAAACUAAUGCAGGAACAGAAUACUAAAUACUGCAUGUUCUCACUUACAAGUGAGAGCUAAACAUUGGGUACACAUGAACACAGAGAAGGAAACAACAGACUUUGGGACCUACUGGAAGGUAGAGGGCGGGACCAGGGUGAGGAUUGAAAAACUACCUAUUGAGUACUAUGUUUAACACCUGGGUGAUGAAAUAAUCUGUAUAACAAACCCCCAUGAUAUGCAAUUUACUUAUAUAAUAAACCUGCACAUGUUCACCUG
rnacentral:lncRNA from 10 species